UGCCAGCCGCCGCGGUAAUACGGAGGGUGCGAGCGUUGUUCGGAAUUACUGGGCGUAAAGCGCGCGUAGGCGGCUUUUUAAGUCAGAUGUGAAAGUCCACGGCUCAACCGUGGAAGUGCAUUUGAAACUGGAAAGCUUGAGUAUCAGAGGGGAUGGUGGAAUUCCCGGUGUAGAGGUGAAAUUCGUAGAUAUCGGGAGGAACACCAGUGGCGAAGGCGGCCUCCUGGACUGACACUGACACUGAGGUGCGAAAGCGUGGGGAGCAAACAGGAUUAGAUA
rnacentral:rRNA from 1 species